CUGUUUUCUGUCUUUUGUCCACUCUUGUCCACGCUCCAUGUCCGUUUGCCAGCUCACUGUGGUGGUUUACUGCUGAGAAAAACAUAAAUUCAUCAUCGCCCACUGACCGACCUCGCUCCCUCUAGCUGUCCAGCACCAGGGCUCCCAGGUGGAUGUUGCACUUGAGGACAGCCAACAACAGACACUCACUCACAGAGUGAGACAGAACGUCAGGACAUCAGUGGAAUCUGACGGGGAAUCUGUGAGCAAAACCAGAAGCAAGUCUAUAUGUACAACACCAGUCAGACACAAGGCAACUCAAA